rnacentral:rRNA from 1 species
UACGUAGGGUGCGAGCGUUAAUCGGAAUUACUGGGCGUAAAGGGCUCGUAGGCGGCCAACUAAGUCAGACGUGAAAUCCCUCGGCUUAACCGGGGAACUGCGUCUGAUACUGGAUGGCUUGAAUCCGGGAGAGGGAUGUGGAAUUCCAGGUGUAGCGGUGAAAUGCGUAGAUAUCUGGAGGAACACCGGUGGCGAAGGCGGGCAUCCUGGACCGGUAUUGACGCUGAGGCGCGAAAGCCAGGGGGAGCAAACGGG